UCAAUGGGAAGACGUGAUGCGGAGUGAAGUUUAGUAAUGAAGUCCGUGAGCUGUGCGUCAAGAAAAGCCGCUAUUGUUCAUACCAUACCCGUACCGUAAACCGACACAGGUGGAUGAGGAGAGAAUCCUAAGGCCGGCGGAAGAAGCAUUGUCAAGGAACUCGGCAAAAUGACCCCGUAACUUCGGGAGAAGGGGUGCCUGCGAGAGCAGGCCGCAGAGAAUAGGCUCAAGCAACUGUUUAGCAAAAACACAGGUCUAUGCGAAACCGAAAGGUGAGGUAUAUGGGCUGACGCCUGCCCGGUGCUGGAAGGUUAAGAGGAGAGGUUAGCGGUAACGCGAAGCUUUGAAUUUAAGCCCCAGUAAACGGCGGCCGUAACUAUAACGGUCCUAAGGUAGCGAAAUUCCUUGUCGGGUAAGUUCCGACCCGCACGAAAGGCGUAAUGAUUUGAGCGCUGUCUCGACAAUGCAUCCGGUGAAAUUGAAGUACCAGUGAAGAUGCUGGUUACCUGCGCCAGGACGGAAAGACCCCAUGGAGCUUUACUCCAGUUUGGUACUGGGAUCCGGUACUGCAUGUACAGGAUAGGUGGGAGGCUGAGAAUCGGUAACGCCAGUUGCCGAGGAGCCGCUGUUGGGAUACCACCCUUGCAGUAUUGGGUUUCUAACCAGCCGCCGUGACCCGGCGGUGGGACAAUGCCAGACGGGGAGUUUGACUGGGGCGGUCGCCUCCGAAAGGGUAUCGGAGGCGCCCAAAGGUUCCCUCAGGAUGGACGGAAACCAUCCAAAGAGUGCAAAGGCAGAAGGGAGCUUGACUGCGACACCGACGGGUGGAGCAGGUACGAAAGUAGGGCUUAGUGAUCCGGUGGUAUUAAGUGGGAAUGCCAUCGUUCAACGGAUAAAAGCUACCCUGGGAUAACAGGCUUAUCACUCCCAAGAGUUCACAUCGACGGAGUGGUUUGGCACCUCGAUGUCGGCUCAUCGCAUCCUGGGGCUGUAGUAGGUCCCAAGGGUUGGGCUGUUCGCCCAUUAAAGCGGUACGCGAGCUGGGUUCAGAACGUCGUGAGACAGUUCGGUCCCUAUCCGGCGUGGGCGUAGGAUAUCUGAGAGGAGCUGUCCUUAGUACGAGAGGACCGGGAUGGACGGGCCGCUGGUGCACCGGUUAGACUGCCAAGUCUAUAGCCGGGUAGCCAAGCCCGGAAGGGAUAAACGCUGAAGGCAUCUAAGCGUGAAGCCCCCCUCAAGAUGAGAUAUCCCAUCCGAAAGGAGUAAACCCCCUUGAAGACGACGAGGUUGAUAGGGCAGAGGUGGAAGUGUGGUAACACAUGGAGCUGACUGCUACUAAUAGGGUGAGGGCUUGACC
rnacentral:rRNA from 1 species